UGGUUCUGGCAUCGAUGAAGAACGCAGCGAAAUGCGAUAAGUAAUGUGAAUUGCAGAAUUCAGUGAAUCAUCGAAUCUUUGAACGCACAUUGCGCCCUCUGGUAUUCCGGGGGGCAUGCCUGUUCGAGCGUCAUUAUGACCAAUCACGCAAGUGGUAUUGGGGCUUGCCGUCGGCAUCCCUUAAAACUAGUGGCAGUGCUAUAGGCUCUCAGCGCAGUAAUUAUUUCGCUCUUGAGUCCUAGACACAUCCGCCAAAACCCCAACUUUCUUAGGUUGACCUCGGAUCAGGUAGGGAUACCCGCUGA
rnacentral:misc_RNA from 1 species